rnacentral:rRNA from 1 species
UUGCGCCCCAAGCCUCUAGGCCGAGGGCACGUCUGCCUGGGUGUCACGCAUUGUUGCCCCACCCCUCCCCCUCGUUCUCUUGGGAGGAAGGCGGUGAGGGCGGAUAUUGGCCUCCCGUGUGCUCUAGCUCGCGGUUGGCCUAAAUUUUAGUCCUCAGCUAACGGUGCUGCGACGAUCGGUAGUGUUAUAAUACCUCUCGAGAACGCGUCGAGCACCGUCUGGGACACAUGUACCCAAGCGCUAUGCGCUCGCUUUGCGACCCCAGGUCAGGCGGGACUACCCGCUGAGUUUAAGCAUAUCAAUAAGCGGAGGAAAAGAAACUUACCAGGAUUCCCC